rnacentral:lncRNA from 1 species
CUGAUUUAAAGGUUUUACUGAUAACCUACAAAGCAUUACAUGGGCUUGCUCCUACCUAUCUUUCCGAUUUGGUCCUGCCGUACAUACCUACACGUACGCUACGGUCACAAGACGCAGGCCUCCUAAUUGUCCCUAGAAUUUCUAAUCAAACAGCUGGAGGCAGGGCUUUCUCCUAUAGAGCUCCAUUUUUAUGGAAUAGUCUGCCUACCCAUGUGAGAGAUGCAGACUCGGUCUCAACCUUUUAAGUCUUUACUGAAGACUCAUCUCUUCAGUGGGUCCUAUGAUUGAGUGUAGUCUGGCCCAGGAGUGUGAAGGUGAACGGAAAGGCUCUGGAGCAACGAACCGCCCUUGCUGUCUCUGCCUGGCCGGUUCCCCUCUCUCCACUGGGAUUCUCUGUCUCUAACCCUGUUACAGGGGCUGAGUCACUGGCUUAUUGGUGUUCUUCCAUGCCGUCCCUAGGAGGGGUGCGUCACUUGAGUGGGUUGAGUCACUGACGUGGUCUUCCUGUCUGGGUUGGCACCUCCCCCUUGGGUUGUGCCGUGGCGGAGAUCUUUGUGGGCUAUACUCGGCCUUGUCUCAGGAUGGUAAGUUGGUGGUUGAAGAUAUCCCUCUAGUGGUGUGGGGGCUGUGCUUUGGCAAAGUGGGUGGGGUUAUAUCCUUCCUGUUUGGCCCUAUCCGGGGGUAUCGUCGGAUGGGGCCACAGUGUCUCCUGACCCCUCCUGUCUCAGCCUCCAGUAUUUAUGCUGCAGUAGUUUAUGUGUCGGGGGGCUAGGGUCAGUCUGUUAUAUCUGGAGUAUUUCUCCUGUCUUAUCCGGUGUCCUGUGUGAAUUUAAGUAUGCUCUCUCUAAUUCUCUCUUUCUCUCUUUCUUUCUCGCUCGGAGGACCUGAGCCCUAGGACCAUGCCUCAGGACUACCUGACAUGAUGACUCCUUGCUGUCCCCAGUCCACCUGGCCGUGCUGCUGCUCCAGUUUCAACUGUUCUGCCUGCGGCUAUGGAACUCUGACCUGUUCACCGGACGUGCUACCUGUCCCAGACCUGCUGUUUUCAACUCUCUAGAGACAGCAGGAGCGGUAGAGAUACUCUCAAUGAUCGGCUAUGAAAAGCCAACUGACAUUUACUCUUGAGGUGCUGACUUGUUGCACCCUCGACAACUGUGAUUAUUAUUAUUUGACCAUUCUGGUCAUUUAUGAACAUUUGAACAUCUUGGCCGUGUUCUGUUAUAAUCUCCACCCGGCAGAGCCAGAAGAGAACUGGAAACCCCUCAUAGCCUGGUUCCUCUCUUGGUUUCUUCCUAGGUUUUGGCCUUUCUAGGGAGUUUUUCCUAGCCACCGUGCUUCUACACCUGCAUUGCUUGCUGUUUGGGGUUUUAGGCUGGGUUUCUGUACAGCACUUUGAUAUAUCAGCUGAUGUAAGAAGGGCUAUAUAAAUAAAUUUGAAAUUUGACUUGGGGCCAGGUAAUAGACAUGUCGUAGCCUACCGGGGAAGAACGAGAGGCAGCCCCCCAACAAAACAUUUGGGGGGGGCACACGGGUAGUUUGGCGGGGCCAGGGGUGAGACCUGAGCCAACUCCCCGUGCUUAUUGUGGUGAGCAUGUGCCUGCCUCUCGCACUCUCCCUCCAGUGCGCCUCCAUAGCCCAGUACGUCCUGUGCCUGCCCCUCGCACUCUCCCUCCAGUAAGCCUCCAUAGCCCAGUACGGCCGGUGCCUGCUCUGAGCACCCGGUCCUCAGUGCGUCUCUCCAGUCCGGUGAGACCUGUUCCAGCUCCACGAGCAAAGCCUCCAGUGAUAAUCUAUGGUCCGAAGCCUGUAGAGAUGAUCCAUGGCACAAAGCCUCUAGUGAUGAUCCAUGGCCCGGAGCCUGUAGGGAUAAUCCAUGGCAAGAAGCCUGUAGGGAUUAUCCAUGGUCCGGAGCCUGUAGGGAUAAUCCAUGGCAAGAAGCCUGUAGAGAUAAUCCAUGGCCCGGAGCCUGUAGAGAUGAUCCAUGGCACGAAGCCUCCAGUGAUGAUCCAUGGCACGGAACCUGUAUUGAUGAUCCAUGGCAUGGAGCUUGCAGCAACGGUCCCCAGUCCGGAACCUACAACGACGCUCCCCAGUCCGGAGCCUCCGGCGACGCUCCCCAGUCCGGAGCCUCCAGCAGCGGUCUGCAGCCCAGAGUCUUCAACGGCGCCCUUCAGCCUAGAGUCUUCAACGGCGCCCUUCAGCCUAGAGUCUUCUACGGCGCCCUUCAGCCCAGAGUCUUCAGCGGCGGUCUUCAGCCCAGAGUCUUCAGCAGCGGUUGGCAUUCCAAAGCCUCCGGCAAUGAUCCACGGUCUGGUUCCUCCGGACACACAGAAGCGGGGGGAGCAGCGGGCGGUGGGGGUGCUACUCCCUGAACCAGAGGCGCCCCAAUUGUAGAUGCCCACCCGGACCCUCCCCUAUAGGUUCAGGUUUGCGGCAGGGAGUCCGCACCUUUGGGGGGGUACUGUCACGCUCUGACCUAGGAGAGCUGUGUUUUCUCUGUUUAGUUAGGUCAGGGUGUGAUAGGUGGGUGGGCAUUCUAUGUGUUUGUUUUCUAUGUUUUGGCCGGGUAUGGUUUCCAAUCAGAGGCAGCUGUCUAUCGUUGACUCUGAUUGGAAGCCAUACUUAGGCAGCCUUUUUCCCUUGGUUUGUGUGGGUAGUUGUUUUCUGUUUUGUUAGAUUAACCUGACAGAACUGUCAGCUGUAAUUUUUGUUUAUUUGUAUUCAGUGUUCGAUUUUCAUUAAUUUACAAUGAGCACUCAACACGCUGCGCCUUUGUCCCCUUCAUAUGACGCCCGUUACACCAUCAGAGGUCAAGAGGUGGGCAUGGGCACUGUCAAAGAGGUGGACAUCAGAGAGAGGGAGGCAGACAGCAGAGAACUGUUGUGUCUAAUGAAGUCCAGGCCAUCGGCGUUGACCAUGUGAAUUGACAGGAGACCCCAUGGUUGUGGCCGUGGCCAUGUGCUGACGGACCAGCAGGAGUGGGCAGUGGUGGAAAUGGCAUACGGCUGUCCGAAAUAAAGCAGGCCACUGAGGAAAGCGAUGACACCUUUGCCAAUGUGGUAUCCAUCAGCCUAACAACAAUCACUAUUUUUAUCAUGUCAUGUUGAUCUAGCGCACAUUUGCAGUCAAGGCUUUAUGAUUGGUUUCAGGUGUGAACCCACAGGCCACUCUUUCCCUGAAACAUGUUGUGCUGUUCCUUUCCCCUGGCUAUCGCUCUCUCCUCUCUAUUAAUUAUAUUAGAAUGUAUGAUUGCUGCUGCGCUGUUCCCAGCUGUACACUCAGAAAAAAAGCAUUCCAAAAGGGUUCUUCAGCUGUCCCAAUAGGAGAACCCUUUUUGGUUCCAAGUAGAACCCUUUUGGUUCCAAGUAGAACUGUUUUGGGUUCCAUGUAGAACCCUUUCCACAGAGGGUUCUACAUGGAACCAAAACAGUUCUAGAUGGCACCUUUUUGUCUAAAAGUGUAUGGUUGCAUAGGAGUGGACUCAAACCAAGGUGAACCCAAGAGCAGCUUGUCGAACGGCCUCGUCAACACUCCAUCGCCAGCAAUCAUGGAUUUGUAUCGUACAAUAAUCAUAGACAACAUGUCUGUAAGCAUAGUAUUCAUAUUUGACAUCAUAAAAUUGGCUUACAUGCAUAAUUGUAGCCUAUUUCACAAGUGGUGCUUUGCAAUAUCACGGCUAUUUUAUCAAUUGAUUAUUCAGUGAUUUAAAAAAGAAACUGGCUCUAACCAGAAUAGAAAGAGGAGUUGGACGCCUCACAAGUCCUCAACUGGCAGCUUCAUUAAAUAGUACCCGCAUAACACCAGUCUCAACGUCAACUGUGAAGAGGCGACUCAGAGAUGCUGGACUUCUAGGCAGAGUUGCAAAGAAAAAGCCAUAUCUCAGACUGGCCAAUAAAAAUAAAAGAUUAAGAUGGGCAAAAGAACACAGACACUGGACAAAGGAACUCUGCCUAGGGAGUCGCCUCUUUACUGUUGACGUUGAGACUGGUGUUUUGCGGGUACUCUUUAAUGAAGCUGCCAGUUGAGGACAUGUGAGGCGUCUGUUUCUCAAACUAGACACUCUGAUGUACUUGUCCUCUUACUCAGUUGUGCACCGGGGGCUCCCACACCGCUUUCUAUUCUGGUUAGUGCCAGUUUGCGCUGUUCUGUGAAGGGAGUAGUACACAGCUUUGUACGAGAUCUUCACUUUCUUGGCAAUUUCUCGCAUGGAAUAGCCUUCAUUUCUCAGAACAGCAAUAGACUGACGAGUUUCAGAAGAAAGUUCUUUGUUUCUGGCCAUUUUGAGCCUGUAAUCGAACCAACAAAUGCUGACGCUCCAGAUACUCAACUAGUCUAAAGAAUGCCAGUUUUAUUGCUUCUUUAAUGAGAACAACAGUUUUCAGCUGUGCUAACACAAUUGCAAAAGGGUUUUCUAAUGAUCAAUUAGCUUUAUAAAAUGAUAAACUUGCAUUAGCUAACACAACGUGCCAUUGGAACACAGGAGUGAUGGUUGCUGAUAAUGGGCCUCUGUACGUCUAUGUAGAUAUUCCAUUAAAAAAAAUCUUCCGUUUCCAGCUACAAUAGUCAUUUACAACAUUUACAAUGUCUACACUGUAUUUCUGAUCAAUUUGAUGUUAUUUUAAUGGACAAAAAAUGUGCUUUUCUUUCAAAAACAAGGACAUUUCUAAGUGACACCAAUCUUUUGAAUGGUAGUGUAUGUAUUUCAUUCAUGCUUUAUGAGCUCAGUAGACUUACUACUGCUCAUCAUGUAAAUCAUCACUCUAGGCAUUUUUAUGUCAAUGCGAGGCACUCAGCAGACCAGCAUUGGGUCAGACAGUCUUUGGCACGUGUCCCUAUCGCUUCGUAUUACCGCAUGCAUGACUGGGUUCGAACCAAAGCAAAUGUCUCAUUUUAUCAUACAAAUCGCAAUACAGCAUGUGUGGUUGGGUUCUACGUACAAGCAUACAUAGCACUUCAUCUAAAAACAUCAGCAAAUGUUUGAUUCUGGCGUUCAGCACUCCAUGCUUUGUUGAAAAAUGUAAUAUAAUACUUUCCAUUACAGCAUAAUCUCACUUUUGUUCUAUUCCUAGCAUGCAUCUCUUUUACAUCUAAUUAUGCAUUGUUUUCAAUCUUUAGAUCCAAUUGUUGCUUUGUUGUGUCCCUUCUCCAUGGUAAGUAACAAAUUAUUUUGGGGGGUUUUGAUGCCAGCAGCCUCUCAUAGGGCUACCUGCCAUCACAUCAUCUGGCUCAGCGGCUCUUCACUCAGAGACGAUGCUAUUCCCCUAACUAUUUACUAAAAUGUCAUAUUGCUCUCCAUCUUUGAUGUUCAUUCAGUUAUUAAGCCUGUACUCGAUUGAAAUGUAGUUUACAAGAUUAAAUCAUGAACGCUGGUAUGAAUGCUAAACUUCAUCCAGUGAGCAUAAAAUAAUAAUACUUUGUUUCCUAUUCCAUGGGCAUAGUGGGAGUGAAUACCAACAUACAGUAUCAUCAUCAGCAUAGCGUCAUGUUUCUUCUCCUCUUUCCUAUUAACCAUGUGCGGAAUGUCAUUCACGUUUACCUUAUAGACUAUAGGCAUGGCACAAUGUGCAUUCCUCACACUUCCUGUUUAUCCUAUGGGCUCACUCUUGCAAUUAUCACCUUCCUUCUUCUUCCAACCAAUGGGCGUAAAUCUUGGCAUGUAUUUAUAUUUCAACUUACCUUUGUUUUCUAACUUGCUGUUUUUCAGCAACAGUUUGACAACAAUCUACAUCCCCACCACCACCAGCUAUAAUAACCUUAAGGCCCAUCAUUGGAACUCCUUUCCCCCGGGAGGGGUUCGAUGCCAGCAGCCCCACAUAGAGCUACCAGCUAUCCCCUUCGGAGACGAGGCCAUUCCCAGAACUAUUUCAUAAAAUGUCAUAUUGCAUUCUGUCUUUGUUGUUCAUUCAGUUAAGCCUGUACUCAAUUUAAUUGUUUGUAUGUUCCCGCUGUAAUGUAUAGCCUUAGAUGUUACUGCUAUAUUACUGAGUUUCUAAUCCUAUUUUUGUCAUUUGUCAUUUUUAUUAGGAUCCCCAUUAGCUAACGCCGUAACGCUAGCUAAUCUUUCUGGGGUCCAACACCAAUUAAUAAGACAUUACAAACAAUUACAAAUCAAGACUUCACAAAUAUUCAACAAGUAGACAAUGUGCACACUUUGAUUUACGGCCUAGUAACGUGUAUUCUUAGAUCAGAUUAGAUCUGUAGCCAAGCGUGAGAGAUGGCCAUAAAUCUUAAGAGCAUAGGCCUUCUAUUUCUCUCUCUCUCUCUCUCUCUCUCUCUCUCUCUCUCAAUGUGCACAAAACAAUAGGAAUACCUUCCUAAUAUUGAGUUGCACCCACUUUUGCCAUCAGAACAGCCUCAGUUUUCUGGGCAUGGUCUCUACAAGGUGUCGAAUGGGAUGCUGGCCCAAUGCUCCCCAUAGUCGUGUCAAGUUGGCUGGAUGUUGUUUGGGUGGUGGACCAUUCUUGAUACACACAGGAAACUGUUGAGCGUGAAAAAAACAGCAGCGUUGCAGAUCUUGACACAAACUGGUGCGUCUGGCACCUACUACCAUACCCCGUUCAAAGGUACUUAAAUAUUUUGUCUUUCCCGUUCGCUCUCUGAAUGGCACACAUACACAAUCCAUGUCUCAAUUGUCUCAAGGCUUAAAAAUAGUGACAUCCAUAAGGAAUCAAAGCUUUCACCUGGAUUCACCUGGUCAGUAUACUGUAUGUCAUGGAAAAAGCAGUUCCUAAUGUUUUGUAAACGUAUUCCUGCUGUGUGAAUAUCCGAGUGUUUGCAUGUUAUACUAUAGCAUCCAUUUUAAGAACAGCAUGCCACAUGUUGCAUGUAAUCUCUACUAUAGUUGCAUGAUGUAUUAGUAUGUAUUAAAAUCGUAUAAUG